rnacentral:rRNA from 1 species
AACGAACGCUGGCGGCAGGCUUAACACAUGCAAGUCGAGCGCUCACCUUCGGGUGGGAGCGGCAGACGGGUGAGUAACACGUGGGAAUCUACCCAGCUCUACGGAAUAACCCGGGGACACCCGGACUAAUACCGUAUACGUCCUUUUGGAGAAAGAUUUAUCGGAGUUGGAUGAGCCCGCGUUGGAUUAGCUAGUUGGUGGGGUAAAGGCCUACCAAGGCGACGAUCCAUAGCUGGUCUGAGAGGAUGAUCAGCCACACUGGGACUGAGACACGGCCCAGACUCCUACGGGAGGCAGCAGUGGGGAAUAUUGGACAAUGGGCGCAAGCCUGAUCCAGCCAUGCCGCGUGAGUGAUGAAGGCCCUAGGGUUGUAAAGCUCUUUCACCGGUGAAGAUAAUGACGGUAGCCGGAGAAGAAGCCCCGGCUAACUUCGUGCCAGCCGCCGCAGUAA